rnacentral:tRNA from 1 species
GCCCCCGUAGCUCAAUGGACAGAGUGAUGGUCUUCGAAACCAGAGGUUGCAGGUUCGAGUCCUGCCGGGGGCA